rnacentral:lncRNA from 1 species
AACAAAACGCUGCCUUCAGUUUAAGCCUACCAUUUCAACCUGUAAUAUUUUUUGGGAAUAAUCCCAUAAACCUGUAAAUCAAGCCUCUCUAAUUCAAGCAUUUGGAGUCAUAAUUCAAGCAUUUGUAAUUUUUUAAACCAACACAAGCAAACCAACACAAGAAUGAACACAUUUGGAGUCAUAAUUCAAGCAAACCAACACAAGGAUAGAUAGGCACUGAACACAUUUGGAGUCAUAAUUCAAGCAUUUGUAAUUUUUUAAAGCAAACCAACACAAGAAUGAACACAUUAAUCUAUCCAUGAAAUUAAAGAUAUCACUAAAAUUAUAAAGAACUAUACACAAGUCAAAACUAAUAUGUUAUACGGCCUAUUUGGAGUCAUAACUAAUCUGUUAAAAAUAUAAAGAACUAUACACUUGCCAACCAGAAACCAUUCUUCAUCAAAGUAUUCAUGUUAUUUUGAAACCAUUAUAUACUAAUUAAUCUUUUCUCAAUAAAAUAUUGACACAAUUCCUCCUUGAUUUGUUCCAACUGCAGUCUCGUGUAAUGAGCACACUUGUAUUCAUCAAAGUACUACAUAACAAAACAUAAUAUGCAUGAUUUAGUUAAAAGUAAUAAAUAAUAUGAAAUAUUCGAUAAAUAUUAAAACAAAUCCUAAGUUAUAAAUCCAUACCGUGAUUGGAAUCUCUAUUUGAUUCAUAUUAAUGAUUUCCCUCAUAAACCUCAUUACAAAGUAUCCGCAAUCGAUACNNN